AAUAUACUCCCUCCGUCCGGAAAUAUUUGUCCUAAAAAUGGAUAAACUGGAUGUAUCUAUAACUAAAAUAAGUCUAGAAACAUCCAUUUCGGGACAAGUAUUUUCGGACAGAGGGAGUAGUAU
rfam:Triticum aestivum genome assembly, contig: Triticum_aestivum_CS42_TGACv1_scaffold_513167_6BS